GAUGAACGCUAGCUACAGGCUUAACACAUGCAAGUCGCAGGGUAACAUGAGGAAAGCUUGCUUUCCUUGAUGACGACUGGCGCACGGGUGAGUAACGCGUAUCCAACCUUCCCAUAACUACGGGAUAACCCGUUGAAAGACGGCCUAAUACCGUAUGAUAUCGUUUGCUGACAUCAAAUAACGAUUAAAGGUUUAGCGGUUAUGGAUGGGGAUGCGUCUGAUUAGCUUGUUGGCGGGGUAACGGCCCACCAAGGCGACGUUCAGUAGGGGUUAUGAGAGGAAGGUCCCCCACAUUGGAACUGAGACACGGUCCAAACCGCUACGGGAGGCAGCAGUGAGGAAUAUUGGUCAAUGGGCGAGAGCCUGAACCAGCCAAGUAGCGUGCAGGACGACGGCCCUAUGGGUUGUAAACUGCUUUUAUGUGGGGAUAAAGUGCGUGACGUGUCAUGCAUUGCAGGUACCACAUGAAUAAGGACCGGCUAAUUCCGUG
rnacentral:rRNA from 1 species